GGUGGUUCAAGUUUUCUCUGAAAGAGUUGUCAGGCAGCCUCAGUUAUCCAUGAAGAAAACAACACUCCUCAGAACAACUUUUCAAGACUACUGAGACCACAUCAGUGCUGCUGGAAACAUUGCAGGAGCAUUUAUUUCAGCUUUGGUUUCCUCUGAAUUAUGUAUUUGGAAAUCAGUGUCACCAUACUAGCACAGGAAAAAAACAAAAAUACACCUCAGCAUCCUCAUUGUUUGGUCUUUGACAGAAUGAAAAAUGAAUCUGCUCAGCAGGACACAGUGACUGCUUUCUAAGCAAACUGAUGCAUAGAGACAAGCCCUUAUGUUAAGGACAAGGAGAAUACCAGUAGGUCAGAGCAUCUCUUCUCUUUCUGUCACUGUCCUGUUACUCCUGGAGAGGACCCACAUCUCAGUGAAGCUGUGGCUUUCAUUUGUCAUUAAAUCAUGGAAUAUCCUGAGUUGGAAGGGAUCCACAAGGACCAUCCAGUCCAUCUCCUGCCCCAGCACAAGACAACCCCAACAAUCCCACCCUGUGCCUGAGAGCUUUGGCCAAACACUUACUGAGCUCUGUCACCACCGGGGCUGUGAUAAUUCUCUGGGGAGAAAUAAAAACUCCAGAAAAUAAAAAUCCUGGAGUCCUGUGUUGUCAGUGGUUUCAAGUUCAUGUGACUGAAACGAGAAAACCAAAAACUGAAACACCAGCUGGAAGUUAGUCAAGCAAUUAAAGACAGACAUCUGAAAUAACCUUGGCUGCUCAACACUGGGACAAAUUACCAAAGGAAGUGAUAAAUUGUUCACUUUUUUUGAGACUUCAGAUUAAAAUCAUAAGCUCUUCCUUGAAAAGUUCUGUGAUUGCACUCAAGCUGGCAGAUUUAAGAUGUGAAUUGCUAAAUAAACUUCUAAUUUAGAAAGUCCAAAGCAGACACAUCCUAAAGGUAAUUCAUCCUGCUCACUCUUUCUUCUAAGAACUGAUAAUUAUUUUUGAAAGUUCCUCCCUGCCUUCACUGACUAAAUGGAACCCACAAAGUUUAUUUGCUUGGAUACUUCAGUGUGCAUGGCUAAUGCAAAUGUUUUUCUGUUUUGUUUGGCUUGAAAUUAAUAACAAUGAUUGGAA